rnacentral:rRNA from 1 species
GAAUUCGUCGACAACACAGUUUGAUCCUGGCUCAGAUUGAACGCUGGCGGCAGGCCUAACACAUGCAAGUCGAGCGGAUGAUGGGAGCUUGCUCCCGGAUUCAGCGGCGGACGGGUGAGUAAUGCCUAGGAAUCUGCCUGGUAGUGGGGGACAACGUUUCGAAAGGAACGCUAAUACCGCAUACGUCCUACGGGAGAAAGCAGGGGACCUUCGGGCCUUGCGCUAUCAGAUGAGCCUAGGUCGGAUUAGCUAGUUGGUGGGGUAAAGGCCUACCAAGGCGACGAUCCGUAACUGGUCUGAGAGGAUGAUCAGUCACACUGGAACUGAGACACGGUCCAGACUCCUACGGGAGGCAGCAGUGGGGAAUAUUGGACAAUGGGCGAAAGCCUGAUCCAGCCAUGCCGCGUGUGUGAAGAAGGUCUUCGGAUUGUAAAGCACUUUAAGUUGGGAGGAAGGGCAGUAAGUUAAUACCUUGCUGUUUUGACGUUACCAACAGAAUAAGCACCGGCUAACUUCGUGCCAGCAGCCGCGGUAAUACGAAGGGUGCAAGCGUUAAUCGGAAUUACUGGGCGUAAAGCGCGCGUAGGUGGUUUGGUAAGAUGGAUGUGAAAUCCCCGGGGCU